AUGGAGAUUGCAGGUCGAUUAAAAAAAGUGGAUAAGCUGGUGAUGGGUGAAGCUGUGAAGAUCACGGUCGGCAUCCUGAGGAAGAUGGACCAGAACAAUCUGGCUGAGCAGCUGGAUAACAAACACAUGCAUGCUGAUAAAUCUCCAGUCCAGAUAAGAAGCAGUGCUCAGCCUGGAGCCAAUGUUGUUGAAGUGAAAGCUGAAACAAGUGCAAGUGUAAAUGCUCCUGUACUCGCUGGAAGCACCUUCACUGGAACAGUAAACUUCAACUUCAACUCACAUGCUGCAGGAAAUGAUAAACACAAAUGCUCAGAGACAGCAGAGAAUAACAGAGAAAAACAAGGGAACAGAGACUGUAAAGCAAAUGUGAAUGUUGACCUUGGUGAUCUCAUCAUUAAAGAACUGCAAGUGGAAGAAAGCAGAAAAGCCAAAAAGCAAGCGAAAGUUGAGAAGCGUCGCCCAGGAACGAAGAAAUCUGGAAUACCAGCAGGACAUGCAAUUCAAGCUGAAAGCAGUGACAAAGUUGGUGCACAAGCAGGAGACUUUGAAUAAAAAAAUCAUGAAGUUGGUAAGAGAGAUGGCUGAGUAUAAUAAGAUCCAUCUCGAGCUGCAAGCACUGACAAAGGGUUUAGAGUCUUUGAAGCUCAAAGCUCCAAUGUUUAAGAUGUAAGAGUUUCUUUUGGGGGGAAACAUGAUCAUGUUUCAAAUAUUUAUUUUAUUUCUUUUUUAUUUCUCUUUUAUUUUUCUAACCUUUGAAGGUAUUAAUCUUUGUGGUUUAAGAGUUGAUGUAUGCUUUGUUUGUUUAAAGAGUGUAAAAAGACGUGGUUGCAUUUUCCAACGUGCUUGGGAGAUAAAACCAAAACCGAGCAGUGUUGAUUUUGCAAUGCAUGAAGGUGUGACUUCUGUGGUUGAACCGAGCACACGUGUACCUAUGCAGAAAAAGGUGUUACAGAUAUUUUUGUACUAACGUGUGUAUGUUGCUGACCACCCCUGCCAUUCUUCCCUUUGAACUUUUGACACUCUGUAUUAGAUGUGAUAAAGGUCAGGUACUAUGCUUGUGUAUGAAUACACGUGAUUACCAAAUAAGGGAGAAUGUAGGGGAGGUAUUCAAAGGGUAUGCAAAGCUAUAAAAGGGAGAGAAAAUCUGAGUGCGGGGCCGCACUUUGAUGGUGAAGACUUGCUCGCUUUUAUUUUUUCAUUUUUGAUUACUUAUGAGUUAUUGUCCAUUAAUAAAACAAAACCAUGACAAAUGGUGAUGCGAAUUUUUUUUAUUAAACAAUAAAGUCUCUGAGUAAUUCAUUUAUGAAUAAUAAAUUAUUAUAAACUGAAUAAUCCUACGGGCCUCAAGUAGACCGAACUCAGCUGAGCAGUUGCGGGUGCCGGGGAGGAUUCCACAUCUUCUCAUCGCAGAUCUGGACCUCAGUGGUAAGAACAGAUUUAUUAUGACUGUCAAGGAGAAUAGGAAAUGUGCAUUAGAUAUUUAGUGGAUUUCCCUCAGGAUAGAAAUACAACAAUACUCUCACACUUUAAUAUUUA
rnacentral:lncRNA from 12 species